rnacentral:rRNA from 1 species
UGGGGAAUUUUCCGCAAUGGGCGAAAGCCUGACGGAGCGACACCGCGUGGAGGAUGAAAUUUUUCGGAAUGUAAACUCCUUUUGGCAGGAAUGAAACAAAUGACAGUACCUGCAGAAUAAGCAUCGGCUAACUACGUGCCAGCAGCCGCGGUAAUACGUAGGAUGCAAGCGUUGUUCGGAAUUACUGGGCGUAAAGAGUACGUAGGCGGUAAUGAAAGUCUGAUAUUAAAGACUGGGGCUUAACCUCAGG